GCUCUGUGACUUGGUAGCUCAGAGCCCAUCAGUUGGUUCAGGCUCCAUCUCAUGUAUCCUGGAUUAGAGAACAAAGCAUUUCCCCUUUUCCAGGAUCAGCAGUCUUCCUUCAUCUUUAUUUGGCCUGGAGACACCUUCCUCAUCCUCAGCAUUAAAACACCAUCUUUGGGUGCCAGCUCCUAACUGUGGCAGACCCUGGUUUACUUCAAGAACUCCAGACAGUCACCCUGCCUGAGUCUGUGUCUACAGCCCUGAUAUUGCUCAAAAUGAUUUCACUUGUUCUCAGUCUUUGUCCUCUCCUAUUGACCUCAUAUACAGGUUCUGUUCCAUCCUUGGCCCUAGCCACUGAUACCUCACAAUGCUGUACACACCUGCCCCAGGCCUUUGCUGCUCCAACCUCAUGAGACUUGGUCACUCCACACGUGUUUACGGAAAGCAGGCCCUGUGUGAUUUAUGAAGCCAGGCUCUGAGGAUACACAAAAAGAGGAUGGUAUCUGCCCUCAGAGACUUAUCACCAGAUAUACAGCUGUUCCUGCUCAGUGGGUGGAGAGCCCGGCCCACCA